CCCGACUGCUAUCAGAGUGAGAUUAAGCCAUGCGAGUCAACGUAUGAAUAAUACGUGGCGAACGGCUCAGUAACACGUAGUCAACAUGCCCAGAGGACGUGGAUAAACUCGGGAAACUGAGGCUAAACCGCGAUAGACCAAGAUACCUGGAAUGGUUUUUGAUCAAAAUCUAUAUGGCCUUUGGAUUGGACUGCGACCGAUCAGGCUGUUGGUGAGGUAAUGGCCCACCAAACCAGUAACCGGUACGGGCUCUGAGAGGAGGAGCCCGGAGAUGGGUACUGAGAAAAGGACCCAGGCCCUAUGGGGCGCAGCAGGCGCGAAACCUCUGCAAUAGGCGAAAGCCUGACAGGGUUAUUCUGGGUGACUUUCGCUAAGAAAGUCUUUUGACAUCUCUAAAAAUGGUGUAGAAUAAGGGGUGGGCAAGUCUGGUGUCAGCCGCCGCGGUAAUACCAGCACCCCGAGUGGUCGGGACGAUUAUUGGGCCUAAAGCAUCCGUAGCCGGUUUUACAAGUCCUCCGUUAAAUCCAACUGCUUAACAGAUGGGCCGCGGAGGAUACUAUAAGACUAGGAGGCAGGAGAGGCAAGCGGUACUCAGUGGGUAGGGGUAAAAUCCGUUGAUCCAUUGAAGACCACCAGUGGCGAAGGCGGCUUGCCAGAAUGCGCUCGACGGUGAGGGAUGAA
rnacentral:rRNA from 1 species